rnacentral:tRNA from 1 species
GUGGGUAUAGCUCAGUGGUAGAGCACAUGCUUAGCAUGCACAAGGUCCUGGGUUCAAUCCCCGGUAUCUCCA